GCACGGUUAGCUCAGCCGGUAGAGCGUUGGACUUUUAAUCCAACGGUCAAGGCUUGAAGUACCUUAUCGGGCU
rfam:Ciona savignyi cont_31778, whole genome shotgun sequence.